rnacentral:rRNA from 1 species
UGGGGAAUUUUCCGCAAUGGGCGAAAGCCUGACGGAGCAAUACCGCGUGAGGGAGGAAGGCUUUUGGGUUGUAAACCUCUUUUCUCAAGGAAGAAGAUCUGACGGUACUUGAGGAAUCAGCAUCGGCUAACUCCGUGCCAGCAGCCGCGGUAAUACGGAGGAUGCAAGCGUUAUCCGGAAUGAUUGGGCGUAAAGCGUCUGCAGGUGGCUAUGCAAGUCUGCUGUUAAAGAGUGGAGCUCAACUCCAUAAGGGCAGUGGAAACUGCGUGACUAGAUUACGUUCGGGGUAGAGGGAAUUCCUGGUGUAGCGGUGCAAUGCGUAGAUAUCAGGAAUAACACCGGUGGCGAAAGCGCUCUACUAGGCCUUAACUGACACUGCGAGACGAAAGCUAAGGGCGCGAAUGGGAUUAGAUACCCCGGUAGUCC